GACGAACGCUGGCGGCGUGCUUAACACAUGCAAGUCGAACGGUAAGGCCCUUCGGGGUACCCGAGUGGCGAACGGGUGAGUAACACGUGGGUGAUCUGCCCUGCACUUCGGGAUAAGCCUGGGAAACUGGGUCUAAUACCGGAUAGGACCCUGGGAUGCAUGUCCUGGGGUGGAAAGCUUUUGCGGUGUGGGAUGGGCCCGCGGCCUAUCAGCUUGUUGGUGGGGUGAUGGCCUACCAAGGCGACGACGGGUAGCCGGCCUGGGAGGGUGACCGGCCACACUGGGACUGGGAUACGGCCCAGACUCCUACGGGAGGCAGCAGUGGGGAAUAUUGCACAAUGGGCGCAAGCCUGAUGCAGCGACGCCGCGUGAGGGAUGACGGCCUUCGGGUUGUAAACCUCUUUCAGCACCGACGAAGCGCAAGUGACGGUAGGUGCAGAAGAAGGACCGGCCAACUACGUGCCAGCAGCCGCCGCCG
rnacentral:rRNA from 1 species